rnacentral:lncRNA from 1 species
UCGGAAAAUCUACCACAUCACACUUCCUCACUCCCUUUCUUAAGUCAUAUUCCAUGAAAAGCUACUCAAGAUCUUCAAAUCUUGAAACCCAUUUUCAAACCUUAAUCCCUCUAAUAUAUAAAUCCAACUGUUGAAUCUCUUUGGGUUCGAGGUAGGAUAUUUUCCGUGUCGGAAUUCCUUUCUUCACCCUCGAGAUUGUUCUAAAACAUCUUGGAAACCACCAAAUAUGUAGCGGAGUGGUCUUCUUUUUUUUUCUUGGUUUUUUUUUUGUUGUUGUUGCUUGAUGAUAAAUGAUUGUUGGUUUUAAGGGUUAUGUGAAUUUGAGAGAUGGUGAUGGGUGAAGCAAUGGAGGGUAAGGGUGGAUAGGUUGUGGGUGACGGUGAGGUCAAGAGUGGGUUGAGGGGAGAGCAACGAUAACCAUGGGUUGCUAGCGAGAAUGUGAGUUUGAGAGUUGAAAGAGACAGUGGUCAAAGAACCGGUGUAGUUAUGAUUGUGGUGAUAGUAGUGGUAAGGGUGAAUGGAAAAAGAUGGUGGUGCUACCACGGGGCUUGGUAGGGGUGAGAUUGUAAGUAAUUAUUGGCAUUUGGAUUAUUUUUUAGUUUACCAAAAAUAAAAUAAAGUAAAAAAAGAAGAAAGGGUUAUAAUUUGUUUAAAUUAUAUGGCGAAGAAAUGGAAGCAACAUCAGUAUUUAACAACACAAUUUGUGCCAUGUCUAAUUUCUAUUACACCUUUAACGGUGGUUAAUGGCACAAUGAUAAACUGUUAUAAAUUGACAAGUCCAUGGCCAUAGCGUUGAAAGAAGACACUAUUGUAUAAAAUCGUAACCGAGCAAAGGCAAAAAUCACGAAUUAGCACGAUCGUAUUUCUGCACUCUAGUUGUCAAUGUAAAUUCAUAGUAUUUAAAUGUGUAAUUGAAUUUCUACUUGUAUUUUCAUAUUAUAGUU